AUGCCUUUCAAGCAGCACGGUAGCCUAAACAAUAAGAUGUUUGCCUGAGUUUUCCAGGCACUUGGAGUCAGCUGUGUCUGGUUUAGGCUAAGUUGGUUAAGACUGGGCAUGUGCAAGUCUCAACUCCUUGACCUUUUGAUUUCAGAGGGCCUCAGGUCAAGCUAAGCGCCUUGGUUUAUUAAAGGCUCUCCCGAUACCUUUGACUGCCUUGCUGCAUUUUUCCUUAUCGCAUAAAUGCCACAAGCACCUUGCCUUCUGGGAAGUGGAUCUGGAGUCCUUCUGUCUCCUUGAUUGGCUGCCUUUGUCAAAAACCCUCCCUUAACUGCAAACGUCGGCAUCUCAGCAAUUUAGCUUGAUGUGAGUCAGGAAAAAUGAACCUGCUUCAGUAGCAUUACCUCUGUUGGAAAAAUGGAAGCUCAAAGUGAUUAAGUUUAAAAGUGUACCAGUAGUUAGUGGUAGAGAUCGUGUGCACAGUCUGGUCAGUUGCCUGCAGCAUUCUAGCUGCUGCGCUGGGAAAGGCUGAGCCUCCAUGGAGAAAAAGAGGCUCCAUUGUAUAGAACACUCUCCCACACGCAAGCUCCAAGAGACUUCAUGCCAGGCAGAGGACACAGGAUAUGCUGAUAAUCAAGUGUCCAAGGUUAUAUCUUUUUAUCAGAGACAAAAGCUUUUGAAUCCAAGUAAUGGGACAUUUGACUGAUAGUGGAUAUCGCCUGUAACAAGAAACUGGAAGACAGUGCUAGCUGAAUGGUUCCAUUAUGCUGAGGUUCAAUUAUGAUUUACUUGACUUUUCUCAAAUGGGCUCAGGUGGAUACUGUAGCUCCAGACAUCAUUUUUGUAUUUAAGAUGGUGGGAAGAAAUGAUUAUGACUUUGUUUUUGAAAUCAGGAAAACAAAAGUCUUUUUUUUUUUUUCAAACCCCCAGAAAACUUCUUACAUUU